rnacentral:rRNA from 1 species
CCUACGGGUGGCAGCAGUGAGGAAUAUUGGUCAAUGGUCGGGAGACUGAACCAGCCAAGCCGCGUGAGGGAGGAAGGUACAGAGUAUCGUAAACCUCUUUUGUCAGGGAACAAAGGCGGGGACGUGUCCCCGGAUGAGUGUACCUGAAGAAAAAGCAUCGGCUAACUCCGUGCCAGCAGCCGCGGUAAUACGGAGGAUGCGAGCGUUAUCCGGAUUUAUUGGGUUUAAAGGGUGCGCAGGCGGUCUGUUAAGUCAGCGGUCAAAGCCCGGGGCUCAACCCCGGACCGCCGUUGAAACUGGCAGUCUUGAGUGGGAGAGAGGUAGGCGGAAUGCGCGGUGUAGCGGUGAAAUGCAUAGAUAUCGCGCAGAACUCCGAUUGCGAAGGCAGCAUGCCGGCUCCACACUGACGCUGAGGCACGAAAGCGUGGGUAUCGAACAGGAUUAGAUACCCGAGUAGUC